ACAUGCCUACAACAUAGCGUUAAUGAACCAGAUCCCAUUAGAACUCCACAGUUAAGCACACUCGGGCUAGAGUAUUACUGGGAUGGG
rnacentral:rRNA from 1 species